rnacentral:rRNA from 1 species
UACGAAGGGGGCUAGCGUUGUUCGGAAUUACUGGGCGUAAAGCGCACGUAGGCGGAUAUUUAAGUCAGGGGUGAAAUCCCAGAGCUCAACUCUGGAACUGCCUUUGAUACUGGGUAUCUUGAGUAUGGAAGAGGUGAGUGGAAUUCCGAGUGUAGAGGUGAAAUUCGUAGAUAUUCGGAAGAACACCAGUGGCGAAGGCGGCUCACUGGCUCGGAACUGACGCUGAGGUGCGAAAGCGUGGGGAGCAAACAGG